CAGUGACAUCACUGGUGCCGGGUGCUCUCCCUUUCCCAAAGUGCUUCUCCUGGGUGUUGGGAAGGCCAGGAAGGCACCAGGCCCAGACAAGCCUUUGACGGUGCCUCCACCUACGAGAAACCACAAUUUGUGACUGUAACUGCUUGGAGAAGCCUCCCUUUUGUUGGACUGGGAGAUUUUUGUGAAGUCAGAGCCAGGAUCGUGUGGUUUGGAAGAGGUUCUUUGGAGAUUAGCAGCAGAUCAGUAGAUUUCUCAACUGCCUCGGACAGCUACGAGUAGGAGGAACAACAGCCUGGGGUUUAGGAGAGUCAGGAUUAUGUCCCUUGCUCUGCAAGGGCAGAGGGACUGCAGAGGGACUUUCUCCUCUGCAACCCCAGGGCAUGGGACUGGAGCCCAGGUCCUGCAGUUGAGCAACUCCUGCUGUUUCCUCAGCCAUGUGCCAUCACUUUGACCUUUGGGGAUGACUGAUGAGCAAUACCUGACCAGGUCACUUCCCGAUAUUGGAGCAUGGAAGCAUCACUCAUAGGCACAGCAGUGACCUGCAUUUUGUGGGACAAAAGAAGCAGUGUAUUUUUCAAGUUGAUGGCCAUUUCUCUUCACUCAGAGUUCAACCCCUACGAAGAGGAGGUAUAGAAAGCUGUCAUGCCAUGCAUUUAAUAAUUUAAUAAA